rnacentral:rRNA from 1 species
UAGAGAUAGAGCUUUCCUCUUCGGAGGACAAAGUGACAGGUGGUGCAUGGUUGUCGUCAGCUCGUGUCGUGAGAUGUUGGGUUAAGUCCCGCAACGAGCGCAACCCUUGAACUUAGUUGCCAUCAUUCAGUUGGGCACUCUAAGUUGACUGCCGGUGACAAACCGGAGGAAGGUGGGGAUGACGUCAAAUCAUCAUGCCCCUUAUGAUUUGGGCUACACACGUGCUACAAUGGACAAUACAAAGGGCAGCGAAACCGCGAGGUCAAGCAAAUCCCAUAAAGUUGUUCUCAGUUCGGAUUGUAGUCUGCAACUCGACUACAUGAAGCUGGAAUCGCUAGUAAUCGUAGAUCAGCAUGCUACGGUGAAUACGUUCCCGGGUCUUGUACACACCGCCCGUCACACCACGAGAGUUUGUAACACCCGAAGCCGGUGGAGUAACCAUUUGGAGCUAGCCGUCGAAGGUGGGACAAAUGAUUGGGGUGAAGUCGUAACAAGGUAGCCGUAUCGGAAGGUGCGGCUGGAUCACCUCCUUUCUAAGGA